rnacentral:rRNA from 1 species
UACGUAGGGUGCGAGCGUUAAUCGGAAUUACUGGGCGUAAAGCGUGCGCAGGCGGUCUGUUAAGACCGAUGUGAAAUCCCCGGGCUUAACCUGGGAACUGCAUUGGUGACUGGCAGGCUUUGAGUGUGGCAGAGGGAGGUAGAAUUCCACGUGUAGCAGUGAAAUGCGUAGAGAUGUGGAGGAAUACCGAUGGCGAAGGCAGGUCUCUGGGCUAGAACUGACGCUCAUGCACGAAAGCGUGGGGAGCAAACAGG